rnacentral:rRNA from 1 species
UAGUAGGGCGAACGGGGUAGAGGUAACCACGUGGGUAACCCUGCCCAUAAGAGGGGGGAUAACAUCCGGAAACGGGUGCUAAUACCGCAUAGUUUUCUUGAUCGCAUGAUCGGGAAAGGAAAGACGGCCUUUGUGCUGUCGCUUAUGGAUGGACCCGCGGCGUAUUAGUUAGUUGGUGAGGUAACGGCUCACCAAGACGAUGAUACGUAGCCGACCUGAGAGGGUGAUCGGCCACAUUGGGACUGAGACACGGCCCAAACUCCUACGGGAGGCAGCAGUAGGGAAUCUUCCGCAAUGGACGAAAGUCUGACGGAGCAACGCCGCGUGAGUGAAGAAAAGGUUUUCGGAUCGUAAAACUCUGUUGUCAGAGAAGAACAAGUUGGAGAGUAACUGCUCCAGCCUUGACGGUAUCUGACCAGAAAGCCACGGCUAACUACGUGCCAGCCGCGGC